rnacentral:rRNA from 1 species
UACAGGCUUAACACAUGCAAGUCGAGGGGCAGCAUGGUCUUAGCUUGCUAAGACUGAUGGCGACCGGCGCACGGGUGAGUAACACGUAUCCAACCUGCCGUCUACUCUUGGACAGCCUUCUGAAAGGAAGAUUAAUACAAGAUGGCAUCAUGAGUCCGCAUGUUCACAUGAUUAAAGGUAUUCCGGUAGACGAUGGGGAUGCGUUCCAUUAGAUAGUAGGCGGGGUAACGGCCCACCUAGUCUUCGAUGGAUAGGGGUUCUGAGAGGAAGGUCCCCCACAUUGGAACUGAGACACGGUCCAAACUCCUACGGGAGGCAGCAGUGAGGAAUAUUGGUCAAUGGGCGAGAGCCUGAACCAGCCAAGUAGCGUGAAGGAUGACUGCCCUAUGGGUUGUAAACUUCUUUUAUAAAGGAAUAAAGUCGGGUAUGGAUACCCGUUUGCAUGUACUUUAUGAAUAAGGAUCGGCUAACUCCGUGCCAGCAGCCGCGGUAAUACGGAGGAUCCGAGCGUUAUCCGGAUUUAUUGGGUUUAAAGGGAGCGUAGAUGGAUGUUUAAGUCAGUUGUGAAAGUUUGCGGCUCAACCGUAAAAUUGCAGUUGAUACUGGAUAUCUUGAGUGCAGUUGAGGCAGGCGGACUUCGUGGUGUAGCGGUGAAAUGCUUAGAUAUCACGAAGAACUCCGAUUGCGAAGGCAGCCUGCUAAGCUGCAACUGACAUUGAGGCUCGAAAGUGUGGGUAUCAAACAGGAUUAGAUACCCUGGUAGUCCACACGGUAAACGAUGAAUACUCGCUGUUUGCGAUAUACUGCAAGCGGCCAAGCGAAAGCGUUAAGUAUUCCACCUGGGGAGUACGCCGGCAACGGUGAAACUCAAAGGAAUUGACGGGGGCCCGCACAAGCGGAGGAACAUGUGGUUUAAUUCGAUGAUACGCGAGGAACCUUACCCGGGCUUAAAUUGCAGAUGAAUUACGGUGAAAGCCGUAAGCCGCAAGGCAUCUGUGAAGGUGCUGCAUGGUUGUCGUCAGCUCGUGCCGUGAGGUGUCGGCUUAAGUGCCAUAACGAGCGCAACCCUUGUUGUCAGUUACUAACAGGUUCCGCUGAGGACUCUGACAAGACUGCCAUCGUAAGAUGUGAGGAAGGUGGGGAUGACGUCAAAUCAGCACGGCCCUUACGUCCGGGGCUACACACGUGUUACAAUGGGGGGUACAGAGGGCCGCUACCACGCGAGUGGAUGCCAAUCCCAAAAACCUCUCUCAGUUCGGACUGGAGUCUGCAACCCGACUCCACGAAGCUGGAUUCGCUAGUAAUCGCGCAUCAGCCACGGCGCGGUGAAUACGUUCCCGGGCCUUGUACACACCGCCCGUCAAGCCAUGGGAGCCGGGGGUACCUGAAGUGCGUAACCGCGAGGAGCGCCCUAGGGUAAAACUGGUGACUGGGGCUAAGUCAUA